AAGAAAAUCCGUUGGC
rnacentral:tRNA from 1 species